GGAGGCUUGACCGAGUGGUUUAUGGUGGCAGUCUUGAAAACUGCUGUGCUUUUUGCACGCGGGGGUUCGAAUCCCUCAGCCUCCU